rnacentral:rRNA from 1 species
GACGAACGCUGGCGGCGUGCUUAACACAUGCAAGUCGAACGGAAAGGCUCCAGCUUGCUGGAGUACUCGAGUGGCGAACGGGUGAGUAACACGUGGGUAAUCUGCCCUGCACUCUGGGAUAAGCCUGGGAAACUGGGUCUAAUACUGGAUAUGACCUUUCUCCUUAUGGGGUUUGGUGGAAAGUUUUUCGGUGUAGGAUGAGCCCGCGGCCUAUCAGCUUGUUGGUGGGGUGAUGGCCUACCAAGGCGACGACGGGUAGCCGGCCUGAGAGGGUGAUCGGCCACAUUGGGACUGAGAUACGGCCCAGACUCCUACGGGAGGCAGCAGUGGGGAAUAUUGCACAAUGGGCGGAAGCCUGAUGCAGCGACGCCGCGUGAGGGAUGACGGCCUUCGGGUUGUAAACCUCUUUCAGCAGGGACGAAGCGUAAGUGACGGUACCUGCAGAAGAAGCACCGGCUAACUGUGUG